UUUGCCCUCCCUGCUCCCUGCCCCAUAUAAGCAGAGCAGGAGGAGCCCAGCCCCAAGCUGGGCCCAUUGCGGGCCAAGGGAUCCUCCGCCGGCAUCCCAGGCUGCAGCAAACAGCAGUGCCUGCACUCCAGAGCCACCAUGAAGCCUACCAAAGAAGAGUGGAGCAGCAGCAGCAGCACACCAGCCUAGCAGAACCUGCUCAGUGCUACUGUCCCAGAGCCAGCCUGGAUUUGUGUCAUCUUUUCCUGGAUUCAAGCCUCGUGUCAAGCCAGGGAAGUGUGAGGGGUGGAAGUGCUUAGUGAAGAGGCAGGCGUUGGUGGGUGUCUGUUUGGGGAGCACUGCAGCCUUCUGAGCUCACACAGCCACAGUGCAGUCUCCAUUUUGCCACCCCCAUGUGGCCUCACAAAUGGCACACUUAGGAGCCCACUGCACUUGAGGCUCAGAGCUCUGCUCUUGAGGAGUGGAAAUGUCUCUAACUCUUACUGCUAGAACAUGUGGGACUGAAGAUGUGCACCAGAAGGUUGUUGGUAUGCCAAGGCUCUGUGAGACACCAACUGCCCCAGAGAGCUUGAGGCACUGCCAGGGCAGUUGAAAGGAUGCAGAUCCUCUUUCCUGCCACCUUGCUGAUGUCCAUGAGCAGAAGUGGAGGUUUCGUGUAGCAGAAGUCAUUUAGGUGACCCUUAACAGGUUCCUUCCAACCUCAA